rnacentral:misc_RNA from 1 species
GUAGGAGUGAGCCUGCUCGCGAUAGCGGUUUGUCAGCCAGACAGGUGGUGACUGGUACACCGCUAUCGCGAGCAGGCUCACUCCUAC